ACGGGUGAGUAAUGUCUGGGAAACUGCCUGAUGGAGGGGGAUAACUACUGGAAACGGUAGCCAAUACCGCAUAACGUCGCAAGACCAAAGAGGGGGACCUUCGGGCCUCUUGCCAUCAGAUGUGCCCAGAUGGGAUUAGCUAGUAGGUGGGGUAACGGCUCACCUAGGCGACGAUCCCUAGCUGGUCUGAGAGGAUGACCAGCCACACUGGAACUGAGACACGGUCCAGACUCCUACGGGAGGCAGCAGUGGGGAAUAUUGCACAAUGGGCGCAAGCCUGAUGCAGCCAUGCCGCGUGUAUGAAGAAGGCCUUCGGGUUGUAAAGUACUUUCAGCGGGGAGGAAGGCGUUGCGGUUAAUAACCGCAGCAAUUGACGUUACCCGCAGAAGAAGCACCGGCUAACUCCGUGCCAGCAGCCGCGGUAAUACGGAGGGUGCAAGCGUUAAUCGGAAUUACUGGGCGUAAAGCGCACGCAGGCGGUCUGUCAAGUCGGAUGUGAAAUCCCCGGGCUCAACCUGGGAACUGCAUUCGAAACUGGCAGGCUAGAGUCUUGUAGAGGGGGGUAGAAUUCCAGGUGUA
rnacentral:rRNA from 1 species